UACAGAGGUCCCAAGCGUUGUUCGGAAUUACUGGGCGUAAAGGGCUCGUAGGCGGCCAACUAAGUCAGACGUGAAAUCCCUCGGCUUAACCGGGGAACUGCGUCUGAUACUGGAUGGCUUGAGUUUGGGAGAGGGAUGCGGAAUUCCAGGUGUAGCGGUGAAAUGCGUAGAUAUCUGGAGGACCACCGGUGGCGAAGGCGGCAUCCUGGACCAACACUGACGCUGAGUGAGCGAAAGCCAGGGGAGCAAACGGG
rnacentral:rRNA from 1 species